rnacentral:piRNA from 1 species
AGCAAUAGAGCAGGGCUCUCUGAAUGAA